rnacentral:rRNA from 1 species
GACGUAGGGGGCAAGCGUUGUCCGGAUUUAUUGGGCGUAAAGAGCGUGUAGGCGGCCUGGAAGGUCAGCUGUGAAAACUCGAGGCUCAACCUCGAGACGUCGGUUGAAACCACCUGGCUAGAGUCCGGAAGAGGAGUGUGGAAUUCCCGGUGUAGCGGUGAAAUGCGCAGAUAUCGGGAAGAACACCCGUGGCGAAGGCGGCACUCUGGGACGGUACUGACGCUGAGACGCGAAAGCGUGGGGAGCGAACAGG